GUAAUAUAUAGUUAAUGUGCCUCGAAGACUGGGAUAGCCACUGGAAACGGUGAUUAAUACUAGAUACACCAUUAUAACUUAAGUUGUAAUGGGAAACGUUUUUUCGCUUCGAGAUCAGACUAUAUCCUAUCAGUUAGUUGGUGAGGUAAUGGCUCACCAAGGCGAUGACGGGUAGCGGGUUUGAGAGGAUGAUCCGCCACACUGGUACUGAGACACGGACCAGACUCCUACGGGAGGCAGCAGUGAGGAAUAUUGCACAAUGGGGGAAACCCUGAUGCAGCAACGCCGCGUGGAGGAUGACGCAUUUCGGUGUGUAAACUCCUUUUAUAAGAGAAGAAAAUGACGGUAUCUUAUGAAUAAGUCCCGGCUAACUCCGUGCCAGCAGCCGCGGUAAUACGGAGGGGACAAGCGUUACUCGGAAUCACUGGGCGUAAAGGACGCGUAGGCGGGAUGUCAAGUCAGGUGUGAAAUCCUAUGGCCCAACCAUAGAACUGCAUUUGAAACUGGCAACCUAGAGUAUGGGAGGGGGAGAUGGAAUUAGUGGUGUAGGGGUAAAAUCCGUAGAUAUCACUAGGAAUACCUAAAGCGAAGGCGAUCUCCUGGAACAUAACUGACGCUAAGGCGUGAAAGCGUGGGGAGCAAACAGGAUUAGAUACCCUGGUAGUCCACGCCCUAAACGAUGAACACUAGUCGUCGCUCUGCUUGUCAGGGCGGUGAUGCACUUAACAGAUUAAGUGUUCCGCCUGGGGAGUACGGUCGCAAGAUUAAAACUCAAAGGAAUAGACGGGGACCCGCACAAGUGGUGGAGCAUGUGGUUUAAUUCGAAGAUACGCGAAGAACCUUACCUAGCCUUGACAUUGAUAGAAUACCCUAGAGAUAGAGUAGUGCCUUUCGGGGAACUUGAAAACAGGUGCUGCACGGCUGUCGUCAGCUCGUGUCGUGAGAUGUUGGGUUAAGUCCCGCAACAAGCGC
rnacentral:rRNA from 1 species